rnacentral:rRNA from 1 species
GUAAGGAAUAUUGGUCAAUGGGGGCAACCCUGAACCAGCCAUGCCGCGUGAAGGAUGAAGGCGUUAUGCGUUGUAAACUUCUUUUGUAUGGGAAGAAUGACAGGGAUUUAUCCUUGGAGAGACGGUACCAUACGAAUAAGCACCGGCUAACUCCGUGCCAGCAGCCGCGGUAAGACGGAGGGUGCAAGCGUUGUUCGGAAUUACUGGGCGUAAAGCGUAUGUAGGCGGCAAGUUAAGUUCAAUGUUAAAGCCCACGGCUCAACCGAGGAGAUGCAUUGAAUACUGGCUAGCUAGAGGGUGUUAGAGGAAGACGGAAUUCCCAGUGUAGCGGUGAAAUGCGUAGAUAUUGGGAGGAACAUCGGUAGCGAAAGCGGUCUUCUGGGACAUACCUGACGCUGAGGUACGAAAGCGUGGGGAGCAAACGGGAUUAGAAACCCCGGUAGUCC